rnacentral:rRNA from 1 species
CCUACGGGUGGCAGCAGUGGGGAAUAUUGGGCAAUGGGCGCAAGCCUGACGCAGCAACGCCGCGUGAAGGAAGAAGGCUUUCGGGUUGUAAACUUCUUUUGUCAGGGACGAAGCAAGUGACGGUACCUGACGAAUAAGCCACGGAUAACUACGUGCCAGCAGCCGCGGUAAUACGUAGGUGGCAAGCGUUAUCCGGAUUUACUGGGUGUAAAGGGCGUGUAGGCGGGACUGCAAGUCAGAUGUGAAAACCACGGGCUCAACCUGUGGCCUGCAUUUGAAACUGUAGUUCUUGAGUACUGGGGAGGCAGAUGGAAUUCCUAGUGUAGCGGUGAAAUGCGUAGAUAUUAGGAGGAACACCAGUGGCGAAGGCGGUCUGCUGGACAGUAACUGACGUUGAGGCGCGAAAGCGUGGGGAGCAAACAGGAUUAGAUACCCGUGUAGUC